ACUAUGUGUGGGGUCGGUCGUGGGGUGAUCACUGAUCAUCAUGUCACACAAUGAUAUUGAUCUGAGCUGGAAGAUGCCAAUCCCAAAAUAGGAGAACAACAAGAUCUGCACGUAUGAAGAAAUGAUCAAAAUUUGCAUCGACUUGGCAUUCAUGCCCUUUGUCAUGAUCCGCAUUCGAGCGGCACAAGAUGACGAACAGUUUCGUUGCUUCGGAUUAUCAGCCGCUUUUAAAGAGCAAGUCAGUUUGCAUCUCCAAACAAGUGAUGUUCCCCGAAAAGGGGCGCUAGUGAGGCAAGACUGUAAUGGUUACGAACCAAUGUUUGUGCUCAUUGCCCAAGGUAGCUUGCUCGCUUCACAGCCAAGUAUCCUUGGGGCCGUUGAAUGGGAGGACAUGCAGAUCGGGGCACUAUUACGGACAGUAAAGACGGAACGGACUUGUACUACAUGAGAAUAAUUGCCACAGACGAAUUGAUAUGCCGGCUGGAUUUUCGAAAAUCACUUUCUCUCCAAUUGGUCAUGGAUGAAUAAUAAUAAUGGAUGCAUUCCCGACUACCUACGUAUGGCAAGCCGUCACCCACCCUUCACGUGGCCUACGGAAUGCAAUGGAAGACUCAAUGGUUCCAAUGACCAAACACCAAAAGAGUUGUUGUUGUUGUUGUGGUUGUUGUGUCCAAUCCAGAACCCGGAAGAGAGGCCCGCCAAGAAAUCAUAUCUGACAGUUUUUCUCAAACAUGGUCUCAUUAACCAUUAUUCACGCCAAAAAUUGUCGUCAUCCCAAGGAAAAAGAAGGAGAAGGGAAAAAACCCUGCACCAGUAUUUAGGCGAGAGGAGCGCACCAAUCCGGAUCUCGUGAGAAUAAACCCUGGUGGUUGUCAAUUUUGGGAUCCCACUUCCCAGGCCCAGUUUAUGUGUGUAGUUUAAUUAAAUUUUCUUAAUUUUCACAGCCA